rnacentral:rRNA from 1 species
CGCAUGGUGGGGGGUGGAAAGCUUUUGUGGUUUUGGAUGGACUCGCGGCCUAUCAGCUUGUUGGUGGGGUAAUGGCCUACCAAGGCGACGACGGGUAGCCGGCCUGAGAGGGUGACCGGCCACACUGGGACUGAGACACGGCCCAGACUCCUACGGGAGGCAGCAGUGGGGAAUAUUGCACAAUGGGCGCAAGCCUGAUGCAGCGACGCCGCGUGAGGGAUGACGGCCUUCGGGUUGUAAACCUCUUUCAGUAGGGAAGAAGCCCUCUUUUGGGGGUGACGGUACUUGCAGAAGAAGCGCCGGCUAACUACGUGCCAGCAGCCGCGGUAAUACGUAGGGCGCAAGCGUUAUCCGGAAUUAUUGGGCGUAAAGAGCUCGUAGGCGGUUUGUCGCGUCUGCUGUGAAAGACCGGGGCUCAACUCCGGUUCUGC